rnacentral:rRNA from 1 species
UACGGAGGGAGCUAGCGUUGUUCGGAAUUACUGGGCGUAAAGCGUACGUAGGCGGUUAUUCAAGUCAGAGGUGAAAGCCCGGGGCUCAACCCCGGAACUGCCUUUGAAACUAGAUAGCUAGAAUCUUGGAGAGGUCAGUGGAAUUCCGAGUGUAGAGGUGAAAUUCGUAGAUAUUCGGAAGAACACCAGUGGCGAAGGCGACUGACUGGACAAGUAUUGACGCUGAGGAGCGAAGGCGUGGGGAGCGAACAGG